UACGUAGGGUGCAAGCGUUGUCCGGAAUUAUUGGGCGUAAAGGGCUCGUAGGCGGCCAACUAAGUCAGACGUGAAAUCCCCAGGCUCAACCUGGGAACUGCGUCUGAUACUGGUUGGCUUGAAUCCGGGAGAGGGAUGCAGAAUUCCAGGUGUAGCGGUGAAAUGCGUAGAUAUCUGGAGGAAUACCGGUGGCGAAGGCGGCAUCCUGGACCGGCAUUGACGCUGAGGAGCGAAAGCUAGGGGAGCAAACGGG
rnacentral:rRNA from 1 species